GAUGAACGCUGGCGGCGUGCCUAAUACAUGCAAGUCGAGCGAACAGACGAGGAGCUUGCUCCUCUGACGUUAGCGGCGGACGUGUGAGUAACACGUGGAUAACCUACCUAUAAGACUGGGAUAACUUCGGGAAACCGGAGCUAAUACCGGAUAAUAUAUUGAACCGCAUGGUUCAAUAGUGAAAGACGGUUUUGCUGUCACUUAUAGAUGGAUCCGCGCCGCAUUAGCUAGUUGGUAAGGUAACGGCUUACCAAGGCAAAGAUGCUGAGCCGACGUGAGAGGGUGAUCGGCCACACUGGAACUGAGACACGGUCCAGACUCCUACGGGAGGGAGCAGUAGGGAAUCUUCCGCAAUGGGCGAAAGCCUGACGGAGCAACGCCGCGUGAGUGAUGAAGGUCUUCGGAUCGUAAAACGCUGUUAUUAGGGAAGAACAAAUGUGUAAGUAACGAUGCACGUCUUGACGGUACCUAAUCAGAAAGCCACGGCUAACUACGUG
rnacentral:rRNA from 1 species